rfam:Camelus ferus unplaced genomic scaffold scaffold597, whole genome shotgun sequence.
GAGGGUAUAGCUCAGUAGUAGAGUGCAUAUCUAGCACGCACAAGAUCCUGGGUUCAAUCCCCAGUAUUUCCA